AUGAACGCUGGCGGCGUGCUUAACACAUGCCAGUCGAACGAAGCAUUUGCGACAGAUUUUUUCGGAAUGAAGUUGCUUAUGACUGAGUGGCGGACGGGUGAGUAACGCGUGGGUAACCUGCCUUGUACUGGGGGAUAGCAGCUGGAAACGGCUGGUAAUACCGCAUAAGCGCACAAUGUUGCAUGACAUGGUGUGAAAAACUCCGGUGGUAUAAGAUGGACCCGCGUCUGAUUAGCUAGUUGGUGAGAUAACAGCCCACCAAGGCGACGAUCAGUAGCCGACCUGAGAGGGUGACCGGCCACAUUGGGACUGAGACACGGCCCAGACUCCUACGGGAGGCAGCAGUGGGGAAUAUUGCACAAUGGAGGAAACUCUGAUGCAGCGACGCCGCGUGAGUGAAGAAGUAAUUCGUUAUGUAAAGCUCUAUCAGCAGGGAAGAUAGUGACGGUACCUGACUAAGAAGCUCCGGCUAAAUACGUG
rnacentral:rRNA from 1 species